UACGGAGGGUGCAAGCGUUAUCCGGAUUCCCUGGGUUUAAAGGGUGCGUAGGUGGGUUGGUAAGUUAUCAGUGGCAAAUCGAGGCUCAACCUCGUGGAAGUUGGUAAUACUGUCCGGCUUGAGUACAGGAGAGGUUAACGGAACUCUACGUGGAGGGGUAAAAUCCAUAGAUAUGUAGAUGAACAUCAAUAACGGCGAAGGCAGUUAACUAUUCUGUCACUGACACUGAGGCACGAAAGCGUGGGGAGCAAAACGG
rnacentral:rRNA from 1 species